rnacentral:rRNA from 1 species
CACGUAGGGGACGAGCGUUGUCCGGAGUUACUGGGCGUAAAGCGCGCGCAGGCGGCGGUGCUGGCCCGGCGUGAAAGCCCCCGGCUCAACCGGGGAGGGUCGUCGGGGACCGCACCGCUUGAGGGCGGUAGGGGCUGGUGGAAUGCCUGGUGUAGUGGUGAAAUGCGUAGAGAUCAGGCGGAACACCCGUGGCGAAGGCGGCCAGCUGGGCCGUCCCUGACGCUGAGGCGCGAAGGCGUGGGGAGCGAACAGG